AAGGGGGAAAUAUUAAAUAAAAUUAUACCGUAUCGCAAGCCCUUUUGGACAACUGAUGUGUGGUGGCCUUGGAAAGUGCUUUCUCGAAUAAUGUCUCGUCACCAUUGGUAUAUUGUUAAAGUAUUGGUUAAUAGUCCUAGGGAUAGUAGGAGUAUAGAGUUAAAGUGGAAUCAUAUGAUUAGG